UACGGAGGGUGCAAGCGUUAUCCGGAUUCACUGGGUUUAAAGGGUGCGUAGGCGGUUUUCUAAGUCAGCAGUGAAAUACGGCAGCUCAACUGUCGAGGUGCUGUUGAUACUGGGGAACUUGAGUACUGAUGAGGUAGGCGGAAUGGACGGUGUAGCGGUGAAAUGCUUAGAGAUCGUCCAGAACACCGAUAGCGAAGGCAGCUUACUAAGGAGUAACUGACGCUGAGGCACGAAAGUGUGGGGAUCAAACAGG
rnacentral:rRNA from 1 species